rnacentral:rRNA from 1 species
AUUAGUGGCGAACGGGUGAGUAACACGUGGGUAAUCUGCCCUGCACUCUGGGAUAAGCCUUGGAAACGGGGUCUAAUACCGGAUACGACACGUCACCGCAUGGUGUGCGUGUGGAAAGUUCCGGCGGUGCAGGAUGAGCCCGCGGCCUAUCAGCUUGUUGGUGGGGUAGUGGCCUACCAAGGCGACGACGGGUAGCCGGCCUGAGAGGGUGACCGGCCACACUGGGACUGAGACACGGCCCAGACUCCUACGGGAGGCAGCAGUGGGGAAUCUUGCGCAAUGGGCGAAAGCCUGACGCAGCAACGCCGCGUGGGGGAUGACGGCCUUCGGGUUGUAAACCUCUUUCGACAGGGACGAAGCUUUCGGGUGACGGUACCUGUAGAAGAAGCACCGGCUAACUACGUGCCAGCAGCCGCGGUAAUACGUAGGGUGCGAGCGUUGUCCGGAUUUAUUGGGCGUAAAGAGCUCGUAGGCGGUUUGUCGCGUCGGCCGUGAAAACCUGCAGCUUAACUGUGGGCGUGCGGUCGAUACGGGCAGACUUGAGUUCGGCAGGGGAGACUGGAAUUCCUGGUGUAGCGGUGAAAUGCGCAGAUAUCAGGAGGAACACCGGUGGCGAAGGCGGGUCUCUGGGCCGAUACUGACGCUGAGGAGCGAAAGCAUGGGGAGCGAACAGGAUUA